rnacentral:sRNA from 1 species
UAAUGUACAGGCUUACUUUUAAUAAUGG